UCAGGGUUCGUCUAAUGGCAGGACGCGGGAUUUUGGGACCCGUUAUCGUGGUUCGAAUCCACGCCCCUGAU
rnacentral:tRNA from 1 species